UUUGCUGCUUUGUGUAUUCUUUUUCCUACUUCUCACGCUAGAUAGGAGAGAGAGAUCCCUGAAUCUAAUUUCUUUCUUUCUGUUUCUUUGACCACGACUACUAACAAACUGCAACCAACCCACUGAACCAACAACAACCUCCAGCUGGGGCUCUAACAUUUAUAUGCUCUCCAGAAGUUCCCAGAAUUCCAAUGUCACGCAAUUGCAGAAACUGUCUGUUAGAGCACAAGGCAAAUUACAGCCGCUGCAGUCAGUUUGAAGCAGCCCCACAUCCCCACACCUGGGAUUAAAACAAGAGACUAUAUAUACAUGUAUGUGCGUAUACAUACAUAAUGUAUUGUUGUUCUGUUUUUAAAGAAACCAAAAUUCCAGAAUUUUCACUACAUCUUGUUUCAGUAAACCAAACAAACUAAAACACCUAUGCUAGUGGAACUGGAGAGAUAGCUAAGUCUUUAAAGUACUCGCCUCAUUAGCAUGAGUAGAAAACCCGGGAGAAUCCCGUAGAAGGUAGAGAACAAAAAAAAAUGGCUGACAUCAGCCUCUGGCCUCCAUGCAAUGCAGGUCUGCACACACAGCAUCUUUGUUGAGUGGUAUCAGCUUGCUGAGGAUCUGCAGUACCGAGGUAAUCAACCUCUUUUCCUUACCUGGCUCAUUCUGUGAUGGUCUAAAUGGAUGAGUUUGAGCUACUGAAGUGUACACUCUCUGUGUUAAUAUGAAAAACUAACCUGUAGAGCAAAUAUUCCCGACCUUCCUAAUGCUGGGACAGUUCCUCGUGUUGUGACUGCCAACAAUAACAUUUCACUGCUACUUUAUAAUCAUAAUUUUGCUAUGUUUAUGAAUCUUAAUGUAAAUAUCUGAUAUUCAGGGUAUCUAGUUUACAUCCCCAGUCAGAAUUUCUUGAUUAAUAUGUACCCACCAAGAUUUCUACAUUCUGCCUCAUUUUUUUCCAUAGUUUUCCUUUGUUACUAUUUUUCCCUUUAUUUGCUUAUUUAUUGAGGCAGGGCUUUGUGGGGCUUUGGCUGUCCUGGAACUGGCCCUGUAGACCAAGCGGGCCUUGAACUCACAUAGAUCUGCCUGCCUCUACCUCCCAGGUGCUGGAAGGGAGUACCAGUGCUUGCCUAGCAUACACAACUGUGGGUUCAGUCCCCAGCAGUGCCUAAACUAGAUGCUCUGUCACAGGCACAGGCUGUUUGAGUCAGGGAGGUCAGAGGUCAGAAUUUCAGGGUUGUCCUUGGCUGUGUAGAGAUUUUUGACAUUAGCCUGGACUAUGUGAGAUUGAAUUUUUUUUAUUACUAUUCAGUUUUCAUAGCCUACCCACGUAGUUUUGGUGAUACUAAGUCUUUAAAUGAACCCUUGUGUACAGAAUUGACAGUGUCGGGGCUGAAGUGUCUCUAACUCCUGUCUGAGCCCUCAUCCAGUUCCCAUCAUGUAUGCCCUGUGUCUGCUUUGUUUUCCCCGUCAGCGACUGUGUUUGUAAUUUCUUGGUCUUCUGAAGAGCCUUCUCCUCAAAUGCUUUUUAGACAUUUGGUUAUUUUUUAAUAUUUUAAAAUAUGUAACAGGGAUCCAUCCCAUAAUCAGUUUCCAAACGCUGACACCAUUGCAUACACUAGCAAGAUUUUGCUGAAAGGACCCAGAUAUGGCUGUCUCUUGUGAGACUAUGCCCGGGGCCUGGCAAACACAGAAGUGGAUGCUCACAGUCAGCUAUUGGAUGGACCACAGGACCCCCAAUGGAGGAGCUAGAGAAAGUACUCAAGGAGCUAAAGGGGUCUGCAACCCUAUAGGUGGAACAACAAUAUGAACUACCCAGUACCCCGGAGCUCUUGACUCUAGCUCCAUAUGUAUCAAAAGAUGGCCUAGUCGGCCAUCAGUGGAAAGAGAGGCCCAUUGGUCAUGCAAACUUUAUAUGCCCCAGUACAGGGGAAUGCCAGGGCCAAGAAGUGGGAAUGGGUGGGUAGGGGAGUGGGGGGGGGAGGUAUGGGAGACUUUUGGGAUAGCAUUGGAAAUGUAAAUGAAAUAAAUACCC
rnacentral:lncRNA from 1 species